rnacentral:rRNA from 1 species
AUUGAACGCUGGCGGCAUGCUUUACACAUGCAAGUCGAACGGUAACAGGCCGCAAGGUGCUGACGAGUGGCGAACGGGUGAGUAAUGCAUCGGAACGUGCCCAGUCGUGGGGGAUAACGCAGCGAAAGCUGCGCUAAUACCGCAUACGACCUAUGGAUGAAAGCGGGGGACCGUAAGGCCUCGCGCGAUUGGAGCGGCCGAUGUCAGAUUAGGUAGUUGGUGGGGUAAAGGCUCACCAAGCCAACGAUCUGUAGCUGGUCUGAGAGGACGACCAGACACACGGGGACUGAGACGCGGCCCAGACUCCUACGGGAGGCAGCAGUGGGGAAUUUUGGACAAUGGGCGCAAGCCUGAUCCAGCAAUGCCGCGUGCAGGAAGAAGGCCUUCGGGUUGUAAACUGCUUUUGUACGGAACGAAACGGUCCUGGUUAAUACCUGGGGCUAAUGACGGUACCGUAAGAAUAAGCACCGGCUAACUACGUGCCAGCCGCCGCGGUAAAAC